GAUGUACGCCGUCAUGUCGAAAGGAAGGCCGUGGAGGAUCAUGAUGCCGUUGACGCGGCGAGAGGGCGGCUUGUCGAGGCGAAACAAUUGUUGGAUCGCUCGAUGGGCAAAGUGGUGGAAUGUCACUUUGACCUGUCACAUACAUAUAUGUGACGAUGUGACGA
rnacentral:ncRNA from 1 species